CAGAAUAUUGCCUGGCACAUGAUACAUUUUUUUCAUGUCUUUAUACAGAUGUCUUUUUAAUUUAGAAAUCAAACUCUGCCUUUUGUAUUCUUGUAUAGAACUUGCACUGAGAGUGGGAAACUUACCAUACUACUUGGUAUUACUACUUAGUUCAGUGCCAUGUGUGUCUUCUUCAUAGGUUGUCAGUUCUUAGGGCCACUGUAAUCCAUUCAUCUUUGUUACUUCCAGAGAACUGAAGAUAGUGCCUUGUAUCAGCCAUAAAUAUUUAUACUGAAUUAAUUCAUAGCCCCUGAGGGCCUAAGUUAUUCAUUAUAUCUUUCUUUCCAUUCACCUGUUUCUUAGGGAUUUGUUGUUGCUGCUCCUCUUCCUCCUCCUUUCUUCUCUCCCUGCCUCCCCGUCCCCGACCAGUGUCUCACACAUGCUAGGCAAGCACUCUACCACUGAACUACAACCCCAGCCCAGGGAUUUGCUUCUUCUCACCUUAGCUGUCUUUAAAAAUAUAUUUGUUUUAUUUCACUACAAAACAUGUCACAAUGAUAAAUUCAGUAGAAAGUGCACAGUCCCUGGGGACCAGGCAUGGUGGCACACACCCUUAAUCCCAGCGACUUGAGAGACUGAGACAGGAGGAUUGCAUGUUUGAGGCCAAACUCGGCAACUUGGUUGACCCUACCUCAAAAUUAAAAAAAUAAAAAUAAAAUAAAAUUUAGGAGCCAGGCAUGGUGGAGCAUGCCUAUAAUCCCAGCAGCUCGGGAGGCUGAGGCAGGAGGAUCGUGAGUUCAAAGCCAGCCUCAGCAAAAAAGCAAGGUGCUAAAACUGAGUGAGACCCUGUCUCUAAAUAAAAUACAAAAUGGGGCUGGGGAUGUGGCCCUGACUGAAAUCCCUGGCAUGCCCCCCCCCCCCCAAAAAAAAAAAAAAAACAAAAGAAAAUCCACCAAUUUUAGGUAUGGGGAUGUAGCUUAGUGGUAAAGUACUCUUGAGUUCAAUCCCCAGUAACAGCUACCCUGCCAAAAAAAAAAAAAAAAAAAAAAAGACAACACAAUUAUUUGUAAAUACUGUACAGUUCAGUAGUGUUAAGUAUUUUCAUUGAAAUAGAUCUGUAGAACAUUUUUAUGGUGCAUGUCUGAAACUCCAGUACCUGUUAAACAACUCCUCUUUUUCCUCUUUUCCUAUUCCCCUGUUUACUGUCAUCUACCUGUCUGUAUGAAUUUGCCUGUUUUAAAUACCU
rnacentral:lncRNA from 1 species